UAGCGUGUAGGCGUGCUGCAUAGGCAAAUCCGUGCGGCUUAGCCAAGGCGUGAUGACGAGGAUCUUCGGAUCUGAAGUGAGUGAUACCCUGCUUCCAGGAAAAGCCUCUAAGCUUCAGUUACAGAUUGACCGUACCGCAAACCGACACAGGUGGGCAGGAUGAAAAUUCUAAGGCGCUUGAGAGAACUCAGGAGAAGGAACUCGGCAAAUUGAUACCGUAACUUCGGGAGAAGGUAUGCCUCGGUAGCGUGAAGCCCCUGCGGGUGGAGCGUGAUGAGGUCGCAGAGAAUCGGUGGCUGCAACUGUUUAAUAAAAACACAGCACUCUGCAAAGGCGAAAGCCGACGUAUAGGGUGUGACGCCUGCCCGGUGCCGGAAGGUUAAGUGAUGGGGUGCAAGCUCUUGAUCGAAGCCCCGGUAAACGGCGGCCGUAACAAUAACGGUCCUAAGGUAGCGAAAUUCCUUGUCGGGUAAGUUCCGACCUGCACGAAUGGCGUAAUGAUGGCCACACUGUCUCCUCCUGAGACUCAGCGAAGUUGAAAUGUUUGUGAAGAUGCAAUCUCCCCGCGGCUAGACGGAAAGACCCCAUGAACCUUUACUGUAGCUUUGCAUUGGACUUUGACGGGACUUGUGUAGGAUAGGUGGGAGGCUGUGAGGCGUGGUCGCCAGAUCGCGCGGAGCCAACCUUGAAAUACCACCCUGGUGUCGUUGAGGUUCUAACCUUGGUCCGUGAAUCCGGAUCGGGGACCGUGCAUGGCAGGCAGUUUGACUGGGGCGGUCUCCUCCCAAAGAGUAACGGAGGAGUACGAAGGUCUUCUAAGCACGGUCGGACAUCGUGCUCAUAGUGCAAUGGCAAAAGAAGGCUUGACUGCGAGACCCACAAGUCGAGCAGGUGCGAAAGCAGGUCAUAGUGAUCCGGUGGUUCUGUAUGGAAGGGCCAUCGCUCAACGGAUAAAAGGUACUCUGGGGAUAACAGGCUGAUUCCGCCCAAGAGUUCAUAUCGACGGCGGAGUUUGGCACCUCGAUGUCGGCUCAUCACAUCCUGGGGCUGUAGCCGGUCCCAAGGGUAUGGCUGUUCGCCAUUUAAAGUGGUACGUGAGCUGGGUUUAAAACGUCGUGAGACAGUUUGGUCCCUAUCUGCCGUGGGCGCUGGAUAUUUGAGGGGACCUGCUCCUAGUACGAGAGGACCGGAGUGGACGGAUCUCUGGUGUACCGGUUGUCACGCCAGUGGCAUCGCCGGGUAGCUAAAUCCGGAAGAGAUAAACGCUGAAAGCAUCUAAGCGUGAAACUCGCCUCAAGAUGAGAUAUCCCGGGGGUUCAACCCCCCUGAAGGGUCGUCCAAGACCAGGACGUUGAUAGGUCGGGUGUGGAAGUG
rnacentral:rRNA from 1 species